rnacentral:tRNA from 1 species
GGCAAGGUGGCCGAGUGGUCUAAGGCGCACGGUUCAGGUAUAUCUGAAUCUUCAGGCUUAAUAGCUUCCGUGUCAUGAAAAUGGCGUGGGUUCGAAUCCCACCCUUGUCA